rnacentral:rRNA from 1 species
GACGAACGCUGGCGGCGUGCUUAACACAUGCAAGUCGAACGAGUGGCGAACGGGUGAGUAACACGUGGGUGACCUGCCCUGCACUUCGGGAUAAGCCUGGGAAACUGGGUCUAAUACCGGAUAGUGUGGGAUGGGCCCGCGGUGCAUUAGCUAGUUGGUGAGGUAACGGUCACCAAGGCCCGAUGCAUAGCCGACCUGAGAGGGUGAUCGGCCACACUGGGACUGAGACACGGCCCAGACUCCUACGGGAGGCAGCAGUGGGGAAUAUUGCACAAUGGGCGCAAGCCUGAUGCAGCCAUGCCGCGUGUAUGAAGAAGGCCUUAGGGUUGUAAAGUACUUUCAGCGGGGAGGCGUUACCCGCAGAAGAAGCACCGGCUAACUCCGUGCCAGCCGCCGCGGUAAUAC